CCCAGACUCCUACGGGAGGCAGCAGUGGGGAAUAUUGCACAAUGGGGGAAACCCUGAUGCAGCGACGCCGCGUGAGUGAAGAAGUAAUUCGUUAUGUAAAGCUCUAUCAGCAGGGAAGAAAAUGACGGUACCUGAGUAAGAAGCCCCGGCUAACUACGUGCCAGCAGCCGCGGUAAUACGUAGGGGGCAAGCGUUAUCCGGAUCUACUGGGUGUAAAGGGAGCGUAGACGGCGAUGCAAGUCUGAAGUGAAAGCCCGGGGCUCAACCCCGGGACUGCUUUGGAAACUGUAUGGCUGGAGUGCUGGAGAGGCAAGCGGAAUUCCUAGUGUAGCGGUGAAAUGCGUAGAUAUUAGGAAGAACACCAGUGGCGAAGGCGGCUUGCUGGACAGUAACUGACGUUGAGGCUCGAAAGCGUGGGGAGCAAACAGGAUUAGAUACCCCAGUAAC
rnacentral:rRNA from 1 species